rnacentral:rRNA from 1 species
CAGCCGUAAACUAUGCGCGUUAGGUGUAUCGGUGACCACGAGUCACCGAGGUGCCGAAGGGAAACCGUGAAACGUGCCGCCUGGGAAGUACGGUCGCAAGGCUGAAACUUAAAAGGAAAUUGGCGGGGGAGGCACCGCAACGGGAGGAGCGUGCGGUUUAAUUGGAUUCAACAACCGGAAAACUACACCAGUGAAGAACUGUUACAAUGAAAGACCAGGCUGAUGACCUUGCUAGAUUUCUAGAGAGGAGGU